ACGGGUGAGUAAUGCUUAGGAAUCUGCCUAUUAGUGGGGGACAACAUUCCGAAAGGAAUGCUAAUACCGCAUACGCCCUACGGGGGAAAGCAGGGGAUCUUCGGACCUUGCGCUAAUAGAUGAGCCUAAGUCAGAUUAGCUAGUUGGUGGGGUAAAGGCCUACCAAAGCGACGAUCUGUAGCGGGUCUGAGAGGAUGAUCCGCCACACUGGGACUGAGACACGGCCCAGACUCCUACGGGAGGCAGCAGUGGGGAAUAUUGGACAAUGGGCGAAAGCCUGAUCCAGCCAUGCCGCGUGUGUGAAGAAGGCCUUUUGGUUGUAAAGCACUUUAAGCGAGGAGGAGGCUACUGAGAUUAAUACUCUUGGAUAGUGGACGUUACUCGCAGAAUAAGCACCGGCUAACUCUGUGCCAGCAGCCGCGGUAAUACAGAGGGUGCGAGCGUUAAUCGGAUUUACUGGGCGUAAAGCGUGCGUAGGCGGCUUUUUAAGUCGGAUGUGAAAUCCCUGAGCUUAACUUAGGAAUUGCAUUCGAUACUGGGAAGCUAGAGUAUGGGAGAGGAUGGUAGAAUUCCAGGUGUAGCGGUG
rnacentral:rRNA from 1 species